rnacentral:lncRNA from 1 species
GCGCGUCCAAGCACCUCGAGGCUGGCGCCGAGAAGGUGCUCAUCACCGCCCCCGCCAAGGGCGACGACAUCCCCACCUACGUGAUGGGCGUCAACGCGGACCAGUACACCCACGCCGACAAGAUCAUCUCCAACGCGUCGUGCACCACCAACGGCCUCGCGCCCUUCGCCAAGGUUCUCGACGACAAGUUCGGCAUCGUCAAGGGUCUCAUGACCACCACCCACUCCUACACCGGCGACCAGCGCAUCCUCGACGCGUCCCACCGCGAUCUCCGCCGCGCCCGCGCCGCCGCGCUCAACAUCGUGCCCACCUCCACCGGUGCCGCCAAGGCUGUCGCCCUCGUCCUCCCCCAGCUCAAGGGCAAGCUCAACGGCAUCGCGCUCCGCGUGCCCACCCCCAACGUCUCCGUCGUCGACAUGUGCAUCCAGACCGAGAAGAAGUGCACCGCCGAGGAGAUCAACGCCGCCUUCCGCGAGGCUGCCGAGGGCCCCAUGAAGGGCAUCCUCGCCGUCGCCGACGAGCCCCUCGUCUCCAUCGACUUCCGCUGCUCCGACGUGUCCACCACCAUCGACGCCGCG